rnacentral:rRNA from 1 species
GCGAGCACGCGGGCGGGGUGGGGGGGAAUGCGGGGGGUGCGGGCGGUGUACGGGAUGACCGGGCGUGAAGGGCGUGUAGGCGGCCUGAUAAGUAGGAGGUGAAAUCCUGCGGCGUAACCGGAGGGGUGGCUUCGGAACUGUCAGGCUAGAGCACAGUAGAGGCAGGUGGAAUUCCCGGUGGAGCGGUGGAAUGCGUAGGGAUCGGGAAGAACAUCGGUGGCGAAGGCGGCCUGCUGGGCUGUUGCUGACGCUGAGGCGCGACAGCGUGGGGAGCAAACAGGAUUAGAUACCCCGGUAGUC